GGCCAAAAGGAAGAAUGGCGGCCCAGAGAAGGCCAAAAGUUGGAGAGGAGGCCCAGAGAAUGCCAGAGAAAUUGAAAGGAGGCCCAGAGAAGGCCAAAAGGUGGAGAGGAGCCCCAGAGAAUGCCAGAAGUGUCAGAGGAGGCCCAGGGAAGGCCAUACAAAAUGAGAGGAGGUCCAGAGAAGACCAAAAGGUGGAGAGGACCCCAAAAGAAAACGAGAGAAAAAGAAAGGAGAUUCAGAGAUGCCAAAAGGCAGAGCGGAGGCCCAGAGAAGGUCAGAGAAAAUGAAAGAAGGCCCAGAGAAUGCCAAAUAUCGGAGAGGAGACCCAGAGAUUGCCAAAAGGUGGAAAGGAGGCCCAAAUAAGUCCAAAAGGCAGAAAACCGGCUCAGAGAAGGCAAGAGAAAUUGAAAGGAGGCCUAGAGAAGGCCAAAAGUUGGAGAGGAGGCCCAGAGAAGGCCAGAGAGACGAUAAGGAGGCUCCGAGAAGUCCAAAAGGCAGAGAGGAAGCCCAG